rnacentral:rRNA from 1 species
GAUGAACGCUGGCGGCGUGCUUAACACAUGCGAGUCGAACGAAGCACUUUAUUUGAUUUCCUUCGGGACUGAUUAUUUUGUGACUGAGUGGCGGACGGGUGAGUAACGCGUGGGUAACCUGCCUUGUACAGGGGGAUAACAGUUGGAAACGGCUGCUAAUACCGCAUAAGCGCACAGCAUCGCAUGAUGCAGUGUGAAAAACUCCGGUGGUAUAAGAUGGACCCGCGUUGGAUUAGCUAGUUGGUGAGGUAACGGCCCACCAAGGCGACGAUCCAUAGCCGACCUGGGAGGGUGACCGGCCACAUUGGGACUGAGACACGGCCCAAACUCCUACGGGAGGCAGCAGUGGGGAAUAUUGCACAAUGGGCGAAAGCCUGAUGCAGCGACGCCGCGUGAGCGAAGAAGUAUUUCGGUAUGUAAAGCUCUAUCAGCAGGGAAGAUAAUGACGGUACCUGACUAAGAAGCACCGGCUAAAUACGUG